rnacentral:rRNA from 1 species
GGCCCAUGACGUGCUUGCGCUCUUGGGAAUGCCUGAGAGCAUGUCUGCUUCAGUGCUUCUACUUUCAUUUUCUGCUGCUCUUGUUAUCGGGAGCAGUGUUGCUGCAUGCUUCUGCAAAAGGCACUGGCAUGCUAAGUAUCAAGUUUUGCUUGCUGUUCUGACUGAUCAACAUCUCAUGUCGUUUCAGUUGGCGAAACAAAAGCUGAAGUGUGUUCUUAACACUUCCUAGCAUGAAGUCAGACAAGUGAACCCGCUGAACUUAAGCUAUGGAUCCCCAAAACAUUAGCAGCCUAGACCUCAAAUCAGGCAAGGCUACCCGCUGAACUUAAGCAUAUGGAUCCCCAGGGCACGGACGAGGGG